CCUACGGGUGGCAGCAGUGAGGAAUAUUGGUCAAUGGACGAGAGUCUGAACCCGCCACGUAGCGUGAAGGAUGACUGCCCUAUGGGUUGUAAACUUCUUUUAUAUGGGAAUAAAUUGUUCCAAGUGUGGGAUUUUGUAUGUCCCAUAUGAAUAAGGAUCGGCUAAAUCCGUGCCAGCAGCGAGGGUAAUACGGAGGAACCGAGCUUUAUCCGGAUUUGUGGGGUUUAAAGGGAGCGUAGGUGGAUUGUUAAGUCAGUUGUGAACGUUUGCGGCUCAACAGUAAAAUUGCAGUUGAAACUGGCAGGCUUGAGUACAGUAGAGGUGGGCGGAAUUCGUGGUGUAGCGGUGAAAUGCUUAGAUAUCACGAAGAACUCCGAGUGCGAAGGCAGCUCACUGGACUGCAACUGACACUGAGGCUCGAAAGUGUGGGUAUCAAACAGGAUUAGAUACCCCAGUAGUC
rnacentral:rRNA from 1 species